rnacentral:rRNA from 1 species
UACGUAGGUGGCAAGCGUUGUCCGGAUUUACUGGGCGUAAAGAGCGCGCAGGCGGUCGAUUAAGUCGAAUGUGAAAGCCCCCGGCUCAACUGGGGAGGGUCAUUCGAUACUGAUCGACUUGAAGGCAGGAGAGAGAAGUGGAAUUCCCGGUGUAGCGGUGAAAUGCGUAGAGAUCGGGAAGAACAUCGGUGGCGAAGGCGCUCUACUGGACCACAACUGACACUCAGGGACGAAAGCUAGGGGAGCGAAUGGG